GACGAACGCUGGCGGCGUGCCUAAUACAUGCAAGUCGAGCGCUUCUUUCCUCCCGAGUGCUUGCACUCAAUUGGAAAGAGGAGUGGCGGACGGGUGAGUAACACGUGGGUAACCUACCCAUCAGAGGGGGAUAACACUUGGAAACAGGUGCUAAUACCGCAUAACAGUUUAUGCCGCAUGGCAUAAGAGUGAAAGGCGCUUUCGGGUGUCGCUGAUGGAUGGACCCGCGGUGCAUUAGCUAGUUGGUGAGGUAACGGCUCACCAAGGCCACGAUGCAUAGCCGACCUGAGAGGGUGAUCGGCCACCCUGGGACUGAGACACGGCCCAGACUCCUACGGGAGGCAGCAGUAGGGAAUCUUCGGCAAUGGACGAAAGUCUGACCGAGCAACGCCGCGUGAGUGAAGAAGGUUUUCGGAUCGUAAAACUCUGUUGUUAGAGAAGAACAAGGACGUUAGUAACUGAACGUCCCCUGACGGUAUCUAACCAGAAAGCCACGGCUAACUACGUG
rnacentral:rRNA from 1 species